UGGGGAAUUUUGCGCAAUGGGCUAACGCCUGACGCAGCAACGCCGCGUGGAGGAUGAAGGUCUUUGGAUUGUAAACUCCUGUCAGCAGGGAAAAAGCGAAUCGGUUUAAUACGCCGGUGAGUUGAUUGUACCUGCAGAGGAAGCCCCGGCUAACUCUGUGCCAGCAGCCGCGGUAAUACAGAGGGGGCAAGCGUUAUUCGGAAUUAUUGGGCGUAAAGGGCGCGUAGGCGGUCUGGCAAGUGGAAGGUGAAAUCCCUCGGCUCAACUGAGGAACUGCCUUCCAUACUGCUGGACUUGAGUCCGGGAGAGGUGAGUGGAAUUCCCAGUGUAGCGGUGAAAUGCGUAGAUAUUGGGAGGAACACCAGUGGCGAAGGCGGCUCACUGGACCGGAACUGACGCUGAGGCGCGAAAGCGUGGGGAGCAAACAG
rnacentral:rRNA from 1 species